AUUGAACGCUGGCGGCAUGCUUUACACAUGCAAGUCGAACGGCAGCGGGGGCUUCGGCCCGCCGGCGAGUGGCGAACGGGUGAGUAAUGCAUCGGAACGUGCCCAGUCGUGGGGGAUAACACAUCGAAAGAUGUGCUAAUACCGCAUACGUCUUGAGGGAGAAAGCGGGGGAUCUUCGGACCUCGCGCGAUUGGAGCGGCCGAUGUCGGAUUAGCUAGUUGGUGGGGUAAAAGCCCACCAAGGCGACGAUCCGUAGCGGGUCUGAGAGGAUGAUCCGCCACACUGGGACUGAGACACGGCCCAGACUCCUACGGGAGGCAGCAGUGGGGAAUUUUGGACAAUGGGGGCAACCCUGAUCCAGCCAUGCCGCGUGAGUGAAGAAGGCCUCGGUU
rnacentral:rRNA from 1 species